AGAGUUUGAUCAUGGCUCAGAUUGAACGCUGGCGGCAGGCCUAACACAUGCAAGUCGAGCGGUAGAGAGAAGCUUGCUUCUCUUGAGAGCGGCGGACGGGUGAGUAAUGCCUAGGAAUCUGCCUGGUAGUGGGGGAUAACGUCCGGAAACGGACGCUAAUACCGCAUACGUCCUACGGGAGAAAGCAGGGGACCUUCGGGCCUUGCGCUAUCAGAUGAGCCUAGGUCGGAUUAGCUAGUUGGUGGGGUAACGGCUCACCAAGGCGACGAUCCGUAACUGGUCUGAGAGGAUGAUCAGUCACACUGGAACUGAGACACGGUCCAGACUCCUACGGGAGGCAGCAGUGGGGAAUAUUGGACAAUGGGCGAAAGCCUGAUCCGGCCACGCCGCGUGUGUGAAGAAGGUCUUCGGAUUGUAAAGCACUUUAAGUUGGGAGGAAGGGCAGUAAAUUAAUACUUUGCUGUUUUGACGUUACCGACAGAAUAAGCACCGGCUAACUCUGUGCCAGCAGCCGCGGUAAUACAGAGGGUGCAAGCGUUAAUCGGAAUUACUGGGCGUAAAGCGCGCGUAGGUGGUUCGUUAAGUUGGAUGUGAAAUCCCCGGGCUCAACCUGGGAACUGCAUUCAAAACUGACGAGCUAGAGUAUGGUAGAGGGUGGUGGAAUUUCCUGUGUAGCGGUGAAAUGCGUAGAUAUAGGAAGGAACACCAGUGGCGAAGGCGACCACCUGGACUGAUACUGACACUGAGGUGCGAAAGCGUGGGGAGCAAACAGGAUUAGAUACCCCGGUAGUCC
rnacentral:rRNA from 1 species